rnacentral:rRNA from 1 species
UACAGAGGUCCCGAGCGUUGUUCGGAUUCAUUGGGCGUAAAGGGUGCGUAGGCGGUCUGCUAAGUUUGAUGUGAGAUCCCGGGGCUCAACCCUGGAAUGGCAUUGAAUACUGGUGGACUAGAGUACUGGAGAGGAAACUGGAAUUUACGGUGUAGCAGUGAAAUGCGUAGAGAUCGUAAGGAAGACCAGUGGCGAAGGCGAGUCUCUGGACAUUUCCUGACGCUGAGGCACGAAAGCCAGGGGAGCAAACGGG